rnacentral:rRNA from 1 species
CUUCCAGGAAAAGCCUCUAAGCUUCAGAUAGUCAGGAAUCGUACCCCAAACCGACACAGGUGGUCGGGUAGAGAAUACCAAGGCGCUUGAGAGAACUCGGGUGAAGGAACUAGGCAAAAUGGUACCGUAACUUCGGGAGAAGGUACGCUCUUGAUGGUGAAGUCCCUCGCGGAUGGAGCUGACGAGAGUCGCAGAUACCAGGUGGCUGCAACUGUUUAUUAAAAACACAGCACUGUGCAAAAUCGCAAGAUGACGUAUACGGUGUGACGCCUGCCCGGUGCCGGAAGGUUAAUUGAUGGGGUUAGCGCAAGCGAAGCUCUUGAUCGAAGCCCCGGUAAACGGCGGCCGUAACUAUAACGGUCCUAAGGUAGCGAAAUUCCUUGUCGGGUAAGUUCCGACCUGCACGAAUGGCGUAAUGAUGGCCACGCUGUCUCCACCCGAGACUCAGUGAAAUUGAAAUCGCUGUGAAGAUGCAGUGUACCCGCGGCUAGACGGAAAGACCCCGUGAACCUUUACUACAGCUUGGCACUGAACAUUGAACCUACAUGUGUAGGAUAGGUGGGAGGCUAUGAAGACGUGACGCCAGUUGCGUUGGAGCCGUCCUUGAAAUACCACCCUUGUAUGUUUGAUGUUCUAACUUAGACCCGUUAUCCGGGUUGAGGACAGUGCCUGGUGGGUAGUUUGACUGGGGCGGUCUCCUCCCAAAGAGUAACGGAGGAGCACGAAGGUGGGCUAAUCACGGUUGGACAUCGUGAGGUUAGUGCAAUGGCAUAAGCCCGCUUAACUGCGAGAAUGACGGUUCGAGCAGGUGCGAAAGCAGGUCAUAGUGAUCCGGUGGUUCUGUAUGGAAGGGCCAUCGCUCAACGGAUAAAAGGUACUCCGGGGAUAACAGGCUGAUACCGCCCAAGAGUUCAUAUCGACGGCGGUGUUUGGCACCUCGAUGUCGGCUCAUCACAUCCUGGGGCUGAAGUCGGUCCCAAGGGUAUGGCUGUUCGCCAUUUAAAGUGGUACGCGAGCUGGGUUUAGAACGUCGUGAGACAGUUCGGUCCCUAUCUGCCGUGGGCGUUGGAAGAUUGAAGGGGGCUGCUCCUAGUACGAGAGGACCGGAGUGGACGAACCUCUGGUGUUCGGGUUGUGUCGCCAGACGCAUUGCCCGGUAGCUAAGUUCGGAAUUGAUAAGCGCUGAAAGCAUCUAAGCGCGAAGCGAGCCCUGAGAU